AAAUGAGGAUCCUAGCCAUAGA
rnacentral:miRNA from 1 species